UACAGAGGUCUCAAGCGUUGUUCGGAUUCAUUGGGCGUAAAGGGUGCGUAGGCGGCGAGGUAAGUCGGAUGUGAAAUCCCGGGGCUCAACCCUGGAACUGCAUUCGAUACUGCUUUGCUCGAGGACUCGAGAGGAGAUUGGAAUUCACGGUGUAGCAGUGAAAUGCGUAGAUAUCGUGAGGAAGACCAGUGGCGAAGGCGGAUCUCUGGAGAGUUCCUGACGCUGAGGCACGAAGGCCAGGGGAGCAAACGGG
rnacentral:rRNA from 1 species